UGGGGAAUUUUGACAAUGGGCGAAAGCCUGAUCCAGCAAUGCCGCGUGUGUGAAGAAGGCCUUCGGGUUGUAAAGCACUUUUGUCCGGAAAGAAAUCCUUGGCUCUAAGUACAGUCGGGGGAUCGACGGUACCGGAAGAAUAAGCACCGGCUAACUACGUGCCAGCAGCCGCGGUAAUACGUAGGGUGCAAGCGUUAAUCGGAAUUACUGGGCGUAAAGCGUGCGCAGGCGGUUUGCUAAGACCGAUGUGAAAUCCCCGGGCUCAACCUGGGAACUGCAUUGGUGACUGGGCAGGCUAGAGUAUGGCAGAGGGGGGUAGAAUUGCCACGUGUAGCAGUGAAAUGCGUAGAGAUGUGGAGGAAUACCGAUGGCGAAAGGCAGCCCCCUGGGCCAAAUACCGACGCUCAUGCACG
rnacentral:rRNA from 1 species